rnacentral:misc_RNA from 1 species
AACGCACAUUGCGCUCUCUGGUAGUCCGGAGAGCAUGCUCGUUUCAGAAUCAAUUAGAUAAUAUCACUCGUAUUCCUAAGGAUUAUUUCUUAGGGAUGCUGAUGUGGAUGUUGGAUGGUUUCUACAAUUAAGUGGAAUCCUCUUAAAUAUGUGAAGUAGAGCAACUGAAAGGAAAUCAGCGCAUUAAUGUGCAACAAGGAGUAAAAUCUUUUUUACACUGCAAUGUAACUGGAAUCUUUAGGUUGUAAAGCUUAAACAAUGAGUGCUGGUCUAACCAGUUCUCUUAGUACUUGAUCUGAAAUCGAGCAGGAAAACCCGCUGAACUUAA